UUUGGAGGGCAAAUCUGGUGCCAGCAGCCGCGGUAAUUCCAGCUCCAAUAGCGUAUAUUAAAGUUGUUGCAGUUAAAAAGCUCGUAGUUGAAUUUCGGGAUCAAUUUAUUGGUCGUGCCAACGGUACGCACUGGUACAAUUGGUUUCUCCCUUCUGACGAAGCAUGAUGUCAUUAGUUUGAUGUCGUGGAAUCAGGACCGAGGGUU
rnacentral:rRNA from 1 species